rnacentral:rRNA from 1 species
CCUACGGGAGGCAGCAGUGGGGAAUAUUGCGCAAUGGGCGAAAGCCUGACGCAGCGACGCCGCGUGAGGGAUGAAGGUCUUCGGAUCGUAAACCUCUGUCAGCAGGGAAGAACGGUCACUGUGCUAAUCAGCAGUGAAUUGACGUUACCUGCAAAGGAAGCACCGGCUAACUCCGUGCCAGCAGCCGCGGUAAUACGGAGGGUGCAUGCGUGAAUCGGUAUUACUGGGCGUAAAGCGUUCGUAGGCGGUAUGUCAAGUCAAGGGUGAAAUCCCCGCGCUCAAGGUGGGAACUGCCUUUGAAACUGGCGAACUGGAGUGUGUUAGAGGAUAGUGGAAUUCGAGGUGUAGCGGUGAAAUCCGUAGAUAUC